rnacentral:rRNA from 1 species
AUUGAACGCUGGCGGCAGGCCUAACACAUGCAAGUCGAGCGGAUGAAGGGAGCUUUCUCCUGGAUUCAGCGGCGGACGGGUGAGUAAUGCCUAGGAAUCUGCCUGGUAUUGGGGGAUAACGUCCGGAAACGGGCGCUAAUACCGCAUCCGUCCUGAUGUAGAAAGUGGGGGAUCCUCGGACCUCACGCUAUCAGAUGAGCCUAGGUCGGAUUAGCUAGUUGGUGGGGUAAAGGCCUACCAAGGCGACGAUCCGUAACUGCUCUGAGAGGAUGAUCAGUCACACUGGAACUGAGACACGGUCCAGACUCCUACGGGAGGCAGCAGUGGGGAAUCUUGGACAAUGGGCGAAAGCCUGAUGCAGCCAUGCCGCGUGUGUGAAGAAGGUCUUCGGAUUGUAAAGCACUUUUAGUGGGGAGGAAGGGAAGUAAGUUAAUACCUUGCUGUUUUGACGUUACCAACAGAAUAAGCACCGGCUAACUUCGUG